CAAAGUCAUUUUUAAGGCUUUAGGACUCCAGGAACAGUGGUGAACCCUCUAGCAGAGGUUAGUUCACAAAAAUGGCUCCAAGACGGCAUAAACAAAGUAUCCAGGACGUCACAGAAGAACCCAGAACAAUUUUAAAGCUUCACAAGCCUCACUUACUUCAGCUAAGCAGAGCAAAGAGACGGCCUCUGUAAGAUGGCCUGGCUGUAGAAGAAGACCUCCCACUCCAAGGAGGAAGAGGAUGUGGUGAUUUUGAAAGAGACAAUAAAUAAUCAGAGUCACAAGA